GGGCCCUGCAGCCAGCUCCGGUGUGGGCCUUCUGCCCUGUCAGCAAGAGGGGUCCCUUGGAUCUCACCACCCCGGAGGCCUCUCUGCCUCCUCCAGCUUUCCAUGUCACUGGGAGUCACUCACCAGGGAUGACAGAGGCUUCGAUGGUGACCAGGACUGAGGCCUCUAGGGGGCCGGAGGUGCCCACCACAUGGCACACAUACUCGCCUGAGUCGGCCGGGGUCACCUGGUGCAGCCGCAGCAGCGAGCCGUGGGUCUGUGUGCAAAUGGGGUGGGUUGGGAGGGGGCUGGAACAGUCCCAUCCAGCCCCUCCAGCAAGGUGGUCCCGGGGGGCUGCCAUACCUGGUGCCGGGCAGGGAGGCUGCCCCCACGCUUGUGCCACGUGACCUGGGCGUGGGCCUGCCCGGGCACCACGCAGUUCAGAUCCAGGGUCUGCCCUUCCGCCACGUGUGAGGAGGAGGGCUCGAUGCGGAUGGGCCGGGUGCUGCCGGGCACUGGACACAGAGCGGCUGCUCAGAGGCCUGAACUCUUGGGCUGUAACCUGUAGCCCUGGGGCAGAAGGCUCUGGGCUGUGACCAGGCCCUAGUGGGGACGGCCGACAGGUGGCCUUUCUGGGACUAGGGCCACACCCUUCUGCCUCCACAUGGCCAGCCGAAUAUGGCUUCUUCCCUCCCCAGCCUCUAACCACAAGCUGGAGGCCCAUUGACCCACCCAUGACUUCUUGAUGAUGAGCUCCUCUGGCCCAUAGGGAACCAGCAAGCUUUACUACCCAGGCUGCGCCCAAGGAUGCGGAUGACAGUGAGACACCUCCCUUCUACAGGACGUCUUCCGUGUGCUCACAAGUACUUUCCAUAGACACUGUCUCAUUUAAACCACACCAUGACUGGCCAGGCGCGGUGGCUCAUGCCUAUAAUCCCAGCACUUUGGGAGGCUGAGACGGUCGGAUCACGAGGUCAGGAGAUCGAGACCAUCCUGGCUAACACGGUGAAACCCCGUCUCUACUAAAAAAAAUACAAAAAAUUAGCCGGCCUGGUGGCGGGUGUGCCUGUAGUCCUAGCUACUCAGAAGGCUGAGGCAGGAGAAUGGUGUGAACCCGGAAGGCGGAGCUUGCAGUGAGCCGAGAUCACGCGCCACUGCACUCCAGCCUGGGUGACAGAGCGAGACUCUCUCUCAAAAAAAUAAAAUAAAAUAAAAUAAAAUAAAAUAAAAUAAAAUAAAAUAAUAAAAAAACCACACCAUGACCAAGCAGGUGGGCAGUACUGCUCCAUUUCAUAGAUGAAUCUGAGGCCCCAAAAGUUAAAAGCUAGUUCAAGGUUGCUAAGGGGCAGAUCUGGGAUUUGAACCAGGUCAGCCGACUCCCAGCUUAGUAUUCAACCUGGACAUUCUGCUGCUUCCUGACAAAUUCUGAAACAGUCACUCAUAGGGAGCCCAGGUAAGCUGGACCAGCCUUAACCUCCCUCCCGUCCACUCAACCUCCUUCUCUCUCUGAGCAGGCGCUGAAGGGUCAAAGCCUGCCUGGAAUGCCCCCCUGUCCUGGUCCCACUGAAGAAGCCACAGGCAUCUUCCUUGGGAGCUCCUAGGGCUCAGCCCCGGCCCAGCCACACCUGGCUCCUCACCUGGGGUGUAGCUGGGGCCAGAAUGGGUGCCGUGGAGCACAGACACAGUAAUGGAGGCCUCCUUGGGGCCCGAUCCAUUCUCCACACGGCACACAUAUUCUCCAGAAUCAGCUGGUGAGACCUGGGGGAGCCGCAGACGGGAGCCGUGCACCUGGGCCAGGAGGAGCCAGAGAGAGUCCGUACCUGAAAGGACAACCACUUGGAUCCGGGCCUGGGCAGUGCCUGCAGGGCUGGUGGCCACGCAGAGGUAGAAGCCGGCGUCAGCAGUCGUGAUGGCUGGGAUGAGCAGUGUCGCGAUGUCUGUGCGCUCUGACCGGGCCUGCCGUGGGUGAGAUGGGUCAGCUGCCCCAGAGGCAGCUGGACAACGGCUGGCCAGGGGGACAGAUAGGGCAUAAAAGGGAGAGGCAGGUGCAGGGCCAAUAUUAGGGCCCAGUGGGGCAUGAAGGAGGACAAACGCCAGGCAGCCAAGAGGACGGCAGGGGCUCCCUGCUGGGAUGCAGGGGCAGGAGACCACCAUCUUGGAGGUGAAGGGAGCCACAGAGGAGGAGGUGGGGUGGGGCGUGAAGGGGGAGGGAAGGUGGCUGGGACUCUCUGCAGAGCCUGUGGGCCUCCUCCUCCUGGGUGGGCCCAUCUCCUCACCUGUGGUGGGAGGCUGCCCCCUUCCUUCCUCCAGGUGAUGGUGGCGCUAGGCACGCCUGCAGCCCUGCAGUACAGCCUGACGGUGCGGCCUGCGUGGACCUGGGUCCUCUCUGGGCUCACUUGGACUCUGGGCCCACCGCCCCCUGCAGACAGAGUCCUGUGAGAACACGCCCUGGGCUGAGCACACUCCCGGCCCCCACCCUGAGCCCGGCCUCUCACCAUGCACGUGGAGCACAGCCCUGGCCACCUGCUGCCCAGCGCUGCUGUGGGCUCGGCACAAGUACUGGGCCUGAUCCGUGGGCUCGACAGCUGGCAGGCGCAGGAUGCCGCCGUGGAUUUGUGCCUUCGCAGGGAGCUGGCCGCCGGGGCCCCCUGACGAGUAGACGUGGGGUCAGCACCCACCAAGCCUGCUCAGAGUCCUGCCCCUCCCCUCCCACACCCAGGAGAGUCAGGCCUUGAAUGUCAUUCCCAUCACGGCCUCACCUGUCCACUCGAGGGUGGGCGUGGGGCUCCCUGUGGCGCUGCAGCGGAACUCCGCCAGUUGCCCGGGCUGCACUGUGAGCUGUGGCGGAUGGAUGGAGACCACGGGGGCGGACAAGGCUAGCCCUCCACGGCCAUCUGUGCACACAGGAGCCAGAGGGAGCUUGGGAAAUGUCAACAGGACCUUGUGACCUCCCACCUUGAGACCUGUCCAUGACUCCCUGUUGCUUUUAGAAUAAAAUCCAAAAUUCCUACCCUGAUCCACCA
rnacentral:lncRNA from 1 species